rnacentral:rRNA from 1 species
AUUGAACGCUGGCGGCAGGCCUAACACAUGCAAGUCGAGCGGAGCGGCGGACGGGUGAGUGAUUCCUAGGAAUGGGCAUGUGAGUGAGGGAUGACGUCCGGAAACGGACACUAGUACCACCUCCUAUCACAUGAACCUAGGUCGGAUUGGCUAGUUGGUGGGGGAAGGGACUACCAAGGCGACGAUCCGUAACUGGUCUGAGAGGAUGAUCAGUCACACUGGAACUGAGACACGGUCCAGACUCCUACGGGAGGCAGCAGUGGGGAAUAUUGGACAAUGGGCGAAAGCCUGAUGCAGCCAUGCCGCGUGUGUGAAGAAGGCCUUCGGAUUGUAAAGCACUUUCAGCGGGGAGGCGUUACCAGCAGAAUAAGCACCGGCUAACUCCGUGCCAGCAGCCGCGGUAAUUC